AACGACGCCGGCGGCAUGCCUAACACAUGCAAGUCGAACGAGACCUUCGGGUCUAGUGGCGCACGGGUGCGUAACGCGUGGGAAUCUGCCCUCUGGUACGGAAUAACUCAGGGAAACUUGAGCUAAUACCGUAUAAUGACUUCGGUCCAAAGAUUUAUCGCCUGAGGAUGAGCCCGCGUAGGAUUAGCUAGUUGGUGAGGUAAAAGCUCACCAAGGCGACGAUCCUUAGCUGGCUGAGAGGAUGAU
rnacentral:rRNA from 1 species